rnacentral:rRNA from 1 species
AUUGAACGCUGGCGGCAUGCUUUACACAUGCAAGUCGAACGGCAGCGCGGGCUUCGGCCUGGCGGCGAGUGGCGAACGGGUGAGUAAUGCAUCGGAACGUGCCCAGUAGUGGGGGAUAGCCCGGCGAAAGCCGGAUUAAUACCGCAUACGACCUGAGGGUGAAAGCGGGGGACCGAAAGGCCUCGCGCUAUUGGAGCGGCCGAUGUCGGAUUAGCUAGUUGGUGGGGUAAAGGCUUACCAAGGCGACGAUCCGUAGCUGGUCUGAGAGGACGACCAGCCAACAUUGGACUGAGAAACGGGCCAGACUCCUAAGGGAGGGAGCAGUGGGGAAUUUUGGACAAUGGGGGCAACCCUGAUCCAGCCAUGCCGCGUGCGGGAAGAAGGCCUUCGGGUUGUAAACCGCUUUUGUUCGGGAAGAAAUCCUCUGGGCUAAUACCCCGGGGGGAUGACGGUACCGGAAGAAUAAGCACCGGCUAACUACGUG